GUGGGGAAUCUUAGACAAUGGGCGCAAGCCUGAUCUAGCCAUGCCGCGUGAGCGAUGAAGGCCUUAGGGUUGUAAAGCUCUUUCGCUGGGGAAGAUAAUGACUGUACCCAGUAAAGAAGCCCCGGCUAACUCCGUGCCAGCAGCCGCGGUAAUACGGAGGGGGCUAGCGUUGUUCGGAAUUACUGGGCGUAAAGCGCGCGUAGGCGGAUUGGAAAGUUGGGGGUGAAAUCCCGGGGCUCAACCUCGGAACUGCCUUCAAAACUCCCAGUCUUGAGUUCGAGAGAGGUGAGUGGAAUUCCGAGUGUAGAGGUGAAAUUCGUAGAUAUUCGGAGGAACACCAGUGGCGAAGGCGGCUCACUGGCUCGAUACUGACGCUGAGGUGCGAAAGCGUGGGGAGCAAACAGGAUUAGAAACCCCUGUAGUCC
rnacentral:rRNA from 1 species